rnacentral:lncRNA from 1 species
UUUUUAGAUAGGGUUCCUCACUCCCCCAGGCUGGAGUGCAGUGGCACGAUCUUGACUUACUGCAGCCUCGACCUCCUGGGCUUAAGCAAUCCUCCCACUUCAGCUUCCCAAGUAGCUGGGACUACAGGCAUACACCACCAUGCCCAGUUGGUUUUUGUAUUUUUUUGUGGAGGUGAUAGUCUCCUUAUGUUGCUCAGGAUGGUCUUGAACUCCUGGGCUCAAGCCAUUCACUUGCCUCAGCCUCCGAAAGUGCAGGGAUUACAGGCAUGAGCCACAGCACCUGGCCGAGAGUAGUUUCUUAAGAUGGAAUCCACCCUUCGUGAAGAUACCGUGAGCACUG